UGGAGACCUGGUCACAAGGGAUAUGGAGAAAGCUGAGGUGCUCAAUGACUUCUUUUGCUCAGCCUUCUCUGGCAAGGGCUCUAGCUACACUGCCAAAUUUGCAGAAAACAGUGGUAAGGAAUUGGAUAAACUUGGUCUGCAUGGUGUAAGUAAAGAGAAAGUUUGAGACCAUCUGAAGAAUCUGAAGGUGCACAAGUCCAUGAGACAUGACAAGAUCUACUCAUGGCUACAUGAGCCAGCAAUGUGUUCUUGUAGCCCAGAAGGCCAGAUGUAUCCUGGGCUGCAUCAAGAGAGGUGUGACCAGCAGAUUGAGGGAGGUGAUUCCACCCCUUUACUCUACCCUCAGUACAUUCCCCAUCUGGAAUGCUGUGUCCAGUUCUGAAGCCCACAACACCAGAAGGACACAGAGUUGUUGGAGCAGGUCCAGAGGAGAGCCACAGUGAUGAUCAGAAGGCUGGAGCACCUCCCCUACAAGGACAGGAAGAGACACCUGGGGUCUUUCAGCCUAGAAAAGAGAAGGCUCUCGGAAGAUCUUACAGCAACCUUCCAGUACCUGAAGGGAGCCUACAGGAAAGCUGGGGAGAAACUUUUUUUACAGAUUGCAUCUCCCUCAUAUAGAAAGGCACAGAAAAGCAUUCAUGUGAAUUCACUGCCAGCUGCAUCCUCGGCCACUUCAACUUUGAGACCGUUCAUGAGCAACAGAAAAAUCCACAGUUCUGAAAGAUACCCUAUUAGUGAACUCAGUCUGAAGCCACAUGCAUCAUGGCUCCUUCUUGAUUUAGAAUGCAUUCUGCAUUCAUAAGCAAGUUCUUGCCUUUUGCAAUUUGGAAGUUUGCUUAAAAUUCAUAUUGAUCAUCUUUACUGCUUCAACUGCAUUUAAAUAAUUUAGAUAGUCAACAAAAUGUCUACAAUUUGUAAACAGAUUAAGUAUGUAUCUGUAUGUUUUAUUUAUUCUACUCUCCAUAAUAAUAGUUUGUUGAGUCAACUCAAGUAUUGUCUUAAAUUGGAAUCUGCAUGCUUAUCUUCAUCAGGUAAUCAGAAGAGCCCUACCAUUAAUCAGAAAGAUUUCAGAGCCACAAUUCUGAUUUACCGUGCUCUGUCAGAAGCUGCUGUCAUCUCCUGUGCAGUCCAAAGACUGAUAGAAAUAACAUCAGGGUCAUUUCCCAAUGAUUCUUUCUGAUUUCUUUCACCUCAGCUGCAUGUCCGACUUUUCUUUCCAAGGCUUUGAUCUAGAAAUAGGAAACUGUAUAGGAACUGAGCCUUUCUUACUGUUACUGAUAUCUUGCCUUCAAGUUACUUUUCUUUUUACUGAGCUCUCUCCUCUAGCAAGGUGGAACUGAGAAUCUCCCUGAAUGACGUAGUGAAAAUGGAGCGACUGCACUGUGAGAAAAGGUUGCAUGUACACAAGUGUGUCCCCAGUUGGCCAGAUUUCUUCUGAUUUUCCUCUUGGUGAUGGUGGGUACACAUAUGGCAUUAUAGGUUUUUUUUAGAAAAUAUCAAGAAACCAAGGAAGCAAGAACACUCUGUGGAAGAAAAUGCUUAUAUGAAACAGUGUUAUUUGUUGCUCUUUGUAUCUGCUGCAGUUUGGAUGGAAAUAAAUAAGAGAAAUAACUUUGGAGCAACCUA